rnacentral:rRNA from 1 species
GAUGAACGCUAGCGAUAGGCUUAACACAUGCAAGUCGAGGGGCAGCAUGGUCUUAGCUUGCUAAGACUGAUGGCGACCGGCGCACGGGUGCGUAACGCGUAUGCAACUUGCCUCACAGAGGGGGAUAACCCGUCGAAAGACGGACUAAUACCGCGUACACUUGGGAUAGGGCAUCCUGACCCAAGGAAAUGAAAUUCGCUGUGAGAUAGGCAUGCGUCCCAUUAGCUAGUUGGUGAGGUAACGGCUCACCAAGGCGACGAUGGGUAGGGGAACUGAGAGGUUGAACCCCCACACUGGAACUGAGACACGGACCAGACUCCUACGGGAGGCAGCAGUGAGGAAUAUUGGUCAAUGGGCGAGAGCCUGAACCAGCCAAGUCGCGUGAAGGAUGACUGUCUUAUGGAUUGUAAACUUCUUUGAUACGGGAAUAACAAGAGCCACGUGUGGCUCCCUGCAUGUACCGUAUGAAUAAGCAUCGGCUAACUCCGUG